CGCCUCCACCUCUUCCCGAUCUCCUCCUCCCCGAGCCCGGCGCACCGAGCCGGCCGUGCCACCGAGCUGCGGCUCUGGCCCCGGCGCCGCGGGUGCGCUGCGGAUGGGCUUGGGGCGCACCCAGCGAGCAGCGAGAGUCGCGGUGUCCCGGGCGCUCGCUGGCACCGUGGCCGCAGCGGCCGGCCUGGGAGCCAGGAGGGCGAGGCGGCUGCACCUUCGGGGCCAGAUUGGAGUUCGAAGAGUGGCGGGUACCCCAGAAGCUCGGGGCCGGGGCGAUGGCUGCAGCCUCGGGAGGGUAUCGCCGGAUCGAACUCCGGGAAAGGGAAGCAAAGGCAUGGAACCUCCGCACACUGGAUGAGAAUCCAUCUUCCAUUCGAGCUGGGAAUAGACUUUGUGAAAGAUAUUAUGUAAUGGAGUCUCGGGAACCCUGAGACCUCUCCAGCGAAGCUGAAGUGAAUUAAUUAAGUGCUUUAAACGGUCUUGGUGCUGUGUUACGGGAGAGAGUGACUGGAAAGUAACAAAGCUGAAUCUUUCUCCCUGGAGUAAGGCCGAAGACUGGAUUACUACACGCCUAGACGUGACACUACACCCAUAGAUCUCAUGCAUCAUUAAUGCCAUAUGACAUUGCCAUUUUCUUUCUCAGUUCACGGACAAAAGUGGUGGGUUUUCAUUGUCUUCACUGAUUGUCAAUGCAUUAAUAAAGAAGAUGUGUGGUA